rnacentral:rRNA from 1 species
CGCUAAUACCGCAUAACAUCAAUUUAUCGCAUGAUAGGUUGAUCAAAGGAGCAAUCCGCUGGAAGAUGGACUCGCGUCCGAUUAGCCAGUUGGCGGGGUAACGGCCCACCAAAGCGACGAUCGGUAGCCGGACUGAGAGGUUGAACGGCCACAUUGGGACUGAGACACGGCCCAGACUCCUACGGGAGGCAGCAUG